UGAGAUUAAUCAAAUUGUGAAUAACUUUUGGAAAGGAGACUCAAUGUCAUACUCAAGCACUCCAGCACCCACAAAAGAACUCUGGUGGUGCGAGUUUAAGGGUUGGUAGGUGAAGAUGAUGGUGGUAUUGAUGUAAAAAUAUGUAGAAGAAGGAUUUGGACUGAGAAG